AACGAACGCUGGCGGCAGGCUUAACACAUGCAAGUCGAGCGCCCCGCAAGGGGAGCGGCAGACGGGUGAGUAACGCGUGGGAUUCUACCCAUCUCUACGGAAUAACGCAUGGAAACGUGUGCUAAUACCGUAUACGUCCUUCGGGAGAAAGAUUUAUCGGAGAUGGAUGAGCCCGCGUUGGAUUAGCUAGUUGGUGGGGUAAAGGCCUACCAAGGCGACGAUCCAUAGCUGGUCUGAGAGGAUGAUCAGCCACACUGGGACUGAGACACGGCCCAGACUCCUACGGGAGGCAGCAGUGGGGAAUAUUGGACAAUGGGCGCAAGCCUGAUCCAGCCAGGCCGCGUGAGUGAUGAAGGCCCUAGGGUUGUAAAGCUCUUUCACCGGUGAAGAUAAUGACGGUAACCGGAGAAGAAGCCCUGGCUAACUUCGUGCCAGCCGCCGCCGUAAGAC
rnacentral:rRNA from 1 species